GACGAACGCUGGCGGCGUGCUUAACACAUGCAAGUCGAACGGAAAGGCCCUGCUUUUGUGGGGUGCUCGAGUGGCGAACGGGUGAGUAACACGUGAGUAACCUGCCCUUGACUUUGGGAUAACUUCAGGAAACUGGGGCUAAUACCGGAUAGGAGCUCCUGCUGCAUGGUGGGGGUUGGAAAGUUUCGGCGGUUGGGGAUGGACUCGCGGCUUAUCAGCUUGUUGGUGGGGUAGUGGCUUACCAAGGCUUUGACGGGUAGCCGGCCUGGGAGGGUGGCCGGCCACCUUGGGACUGAGGUACGGCCCAGACUCCUACGGUAGGCAACAGUGGAGAAUCUUGCACAGUGGGCGGGAGCCUGAUGCGACGGCGCCGCGUGCGUGAUGCCGGCCUUCGGGUUGUGAACCGCUUUCGCCUGUGACGAAGCGUGAGUGACGGUAAUGGGUAAAGAAGCACCGGCUAACUACGUG
rnacentral:rRNA from 1 species